rnacentral:rRNA from 1 species
UACAGAGGUCCCAAGCGUUGUUCGGAUUCACUGGGCGUAAAGGGUGCGUAGGUGGCCGGGUAAGUCUGACGUGAAAUCUCCGAGCCUAACUCGGAAACUGCAUCGGAUACUAUCCGGCUUGAGGGUUGGAGGGGGGACUGGAAUACUUGGUGUAGCAGUGAAAUGCGUAGAUAUCAAGUGGAACACCAGUGGCGAAGGCGGUUCUCUGGGACGGUACUGACGCUGAGACGCGAAAGCGUGGGGAGCGAACAGG